rnacentral:rRNA from 1 species
UACGUAGGGGGCAAGCGUUGUCCGGAUUUAUUGGGCGUAAAGAGCGUGUAGGCGGCCGUACAGGUCAGCUGUGAAAACUCGAGGCUCAACCUCGAGACGUCGGUUGAAACCGUACGGCUAGAGUCCGGAAGAGGAGAGUGGAAUUCCCGGUGUAGCGGUGAAAUGCGCAGAUAUCAGGAGGAACACCGGUGGCGAAGGCGGGUCACUGGACCAUAACUGACGCUGAGGCACGAAAGCUAGGGGAGCAAACAGG